rfam:Taeniopygia guttata chromosome 4, whole genome shotgun sequence.
CCACAACUUAAAUGUGGACGUGCUUGCUUUGGCUCACAACAGUAAGUGCUUCCAUGUUUUAGUGGUGG